AGCAGCCGCGGUAAUUCCAGCUCCAAUAGCGUAUAUUAAAGUUGUUGCAGUUAAAAAGCUCGUAGUUGAAUUUCGGGGUCAGUAGGUUGGCCAUGCCACUGGUAUGCACUGGUCUCACUGAUUCCUCCUUCCUGAUGAACCGUAAUGCCAUUAAUUUGGUGUUGCGGGGAAUCUGGACUGUUACUUUGAAAAAUUAGAGUGUUUAAAGCAGGCUAACGCUUGAAUACAUUAGCAUGGAAUAAUGAAAUAGGACGAUCGAUCCUAUUUUGUUGGUUUCUAGGAUUGACGUAAUGAUUAAUAGGGAUAGUUGGGGGCAUUAGUAUUCAAUUGUCAGAGGUGAAAUUCUUGGAUUUAUUGAAGACUAACUACUGCGAAAGCAUUUGCCAAGGAUGUUUUCAUUAAUCAAGAACGAAAGUUAGGGGAUCGAAGACGAUCAGAUACCGUCGUAGUCUUAACCAUAAACUAUGCCGACUAGGGAUCGGAUGAUGUUAAUUUUUAAUGACUCU
rnacentral:rRNA from 1 species